UACAUAACAUGAAGGUGUUAGACCUGAAUUAAGAACUGAAUGUAUUGCUCUUUUAGGCUACGGACUUUGGAUCGCUUGAACUUUCUCCUGUGGACGGUCGCACACUGAUUGACUUUAUGCAUUUAAACACUUGAGAAAGUUAUCAAUUCUCAGAGGGCUCUGUCACAAGGUUGGAUUGGAAUUGGUCCCAAGAGAUUAUGACAUGGAAUCCCCCAAGCCUUUUGGAAAAUAUGAUAUUAUCAGUUUGGUUCCUAUUAGCAAAGAUGAUGGCUGUUUGUGGUCCUUAUCAUCGAAAUACUGCAAGUGCAUAUAGUCUUCUAACUGUUGUUCUCUACCACACAGAAGAUUUCAACCAGGUGAAGAAUAUUUCAGAUUUUCGUCUCAGCUAUUAUAGAAAUCGGUAUAUUUAAGAACAAUUAUUUCUUAUACUUAGCUUAAGCCAAGCGAUGAUAUAACAUAGAAGUACAUGGCUUCUUCUGUUGAGUUCGAUACCUAGAACUCCCACUCAUCUUUGAUUCACGGGCGACGAAGAUUGCGAGAUGAAAUUUCAGGAUUGGAACAUGGAAGCUUCAAAGAUUCAAAGUUUAUGAAUUUGGUAUUUUCCCCCAAAUCUUAGGGUUCAUCUUCAUAUAAUGGUAGUCAGGGACUAAAUGGACGCCGCAAACACAAGCCCCAACGUUCGAAUUACACGUAGGCAACCCAGGGUGGAAAAAAAAUCCAUGUCACCUCCUCCAUUAACGUUCGUCGGUUUUUUAACGUCAAGGACUAAACUGAAUGGCGUUAGCCACUUCCAAGAACUGUAACGCCCCGAUUUCUCAAGCGUCAAGUAAUUACCAAAAUUUCGCAAAUAAUUUUCGCCGAUUCA